UACGGAGGGUGCGAGCGUUGUCCGGAAUCACUGGGCGUAAAGGGCGCGUAGGCGGCGCGGAUAGUCGGCGGUGAAAGCCCGGAGCUCAACUCCGGGUCGGCCGUCGAUACUUCCGGGCUUGAGCACUGUAGAGGCAGAUGGAAUUCCGGGUGUAGCGGUGGAAUGCGUAGAGAUCCGGAAGAACGCCGGUGGCGAAGGCGGUCUGCUGGGCAGUUGCUGACGCUGAUGCGCGACAGCGUGGGGAGCAAACAGG
rnacentral:rRNA from 1 species